CGGGAUGCAUGUCUUGUGGUGGAAAGCGCUUUAGCGGUGUGGGAUGAGCCCGCGGCCUAUCAGCUUUGUUGGUGGGGUGACGGCCUACCAAGGCGACGACGGGUAGCCGGCCUGAGAGGGUGUCCGGCCACACUGGGACUGAGAUACGGCCCAGACUCCUACGGGAGGCAGCAGUGGGGAAUAUUGCACAAUGGGCGCAAGCCUGAUGCAGCGACGCCGCGUGGGGGAUGACGGCCUUCGGGUUGUAAACCUCUUUCACCAUCGACGAAGGUCCGGGUUCUCUCGGAUUGACGGUAGGUGGAGAAGAAGCACCGGCCAACUACGUGCCAGCAGCCGCGGUAAUACGUAGGGUGCGAGCGUUGUCCGGAAUUACUGGGCGUAAAGAGCUCGUAGGUGGUUUGUCGCGUUGUUCGUGAAAUCUCACGGCUUAACUGUGAGCGUGCGGGCGAUACGGGCAGACUAGAGUACUGCAGGGGAGACUGGAAUUCCUGGUGUAGCGGUGGAAUGCGCAGAUAUCAGGAGGAACACCGGUGGCGAAGGCGGGUCUCUGGGCAGUAACUGACGCUGAGGAGCGAAAGCGUGGGGAGCGAACAGGAUUAGAUACCCUGGUAGUCC
rnacentral:rRNA from 1 species